UCGUUGUUCUCAGAACAACAACAACAAAAAAAACUCGUGCACGCCUCCGCCGCCCCCGCGCUCCCGGUCCCGGCCUUCCCCAGUUCCACGCCCCUGCCGUCUCGCUCCUCCGCGCCGCGCGCCCCGACCAGGCCGCCCGUCGGCUCUGUCCCCCGCGCUCAGGUCCCGGUUUUCUCCCUCACGGCUCCCCCGCCGCCCUGCGCGCCCUGGCCUGCCCCCGGUAUCACCCCAGCUGCCAUGGCCGUCCGACUACAACGCUACAAGAAUCUUCAUCAUUUUGUUCUAGACUGAAAGAAGAACCCACCAUGACCCGAGAGCACUAAGGCCCAAUACACAUGUGCACAUUUGCACUCUUUCUGAACAGGAAGCUAAAUCAGUCACUUUUGCUACUCCCAAGGAUUGUAGACAUUCAGAAAUUGAACAGUGUCCUGAAAGACCAGUUAAGCUGAUACAGUUAUAAGUGCUAAAGUUUUCCCAUUUUGCGGGGAAAAAUAAUUUGGCCCUGGUGCUCGAUUUGUACUUUUUACCACCGUGACUAAUAAUGUAGUCCAAGGAUGACUGGAUCACUUUAUUGAUUAUGUUACCAGCUGAAA